ACGGGUGAGUAAUACAUCGGAACGCAUCCUGGAGUGGGGGAUAGCCCGGCGAAAGCCGGAUUAAUACCGCAUACGCUCUGAGGAGGAAAGCGGGGGACCUUCGGGCCUCGCGCUCAAGGGGCGGCCGAUGGCGGAUUAGGUAGUUGGUGGGGUAAAGGCCUACCAAGCCGACGAUCCGUAGCUGGUCUGAGAGGACGACCAGCCACACUGGGACUGAGACACGGCCCAGACUCCUACGGGAGGCAGCAGUGGGGAAUUUUGGACAAUGGGGGCAACCCUGAUCCAGCAAUGCCGCGUGUGUGAAGAAGGCCUUCGGGUUGUAAAGCACUUUUGUCCGGAAAGAAAUCAUCGGGGCCAAUACCCCUGGUGGAUGACGGUACCGGAAGAAUAAGCACCGGCUAACUACGUGCCAGCAGCCGCGGUAAUACGUAGGGUGCGAGCGUUAAUCGGAAUUACUGGGCGUAAAGCGUGCGCAGGCGGUGCUGUAAGACCGAUGUGAAAUCCCCGGGCUUAACCUGGGAACUGCAUUGGUGACUGCAGCGCUGGAGUAUGGCAGAGGGGGGUGGAAUUCCACGU
rnacentral:rRNA from 1 species